UGUAGCCUUGGUCUGCGCCACCGUCUCUGCUCGGGGCACCUCGGGCCACCAUGGCCACCCCACAGCCACCAGCGCCCACCUUAUGGCCUCCACCACCCUCUCACCCCCACCCUGCAGCCACCCUGCUCUCCACUGAUUUGGGCUAGUGCCAACAAUGUCAAGUAACAGGGUAGUCUGGAAACGCUCUUCCUUAGGUCACUAUCUUCUUGGAUUUGCUGUGACUUUUCUGCUCUUUUGAUGGCAGGGAGCCUGCCUUGAUCUCUGCAAUCAGGAAUGUGGCUGAGCAAAUGCAGCUUGUACCUGCUGGAUGGAUACACCUUCCAGAUGCUCUGUUGCUAGAAGGUUCCUGGCAGUGCAGGGAAAGGUGGCUCUGCACAUGGAGCCUCCACAUAAUGGGCUCAAAACAUCUGGUCCAGUGGUUAAAAGCUGUUCACAGGGGUGACUGGACCCCACUAAGCAUUCUUUCGUCUGUAGUGAAUAUUUCACCAAAAACAGCUCUAGGAAAGGCUGGAGGAUCAGUACUAUGUGCUCAAGCCACGGCCACACCCUCCAUCUUCCACCUGACCGAGAAGGGGGGGCUGAAGGCCAUGGCCGCCCCAGGAGAAAGGACACUAGGAAGGCCACCGGGGGCCUGAGGAACAUGCGUGUGAAGCAGAUGGGAAAGGAGCUGCAGGUUCAUUGUGGUCCUUGAGGGAAAAGCUGAGGGCCCAGCCGUGGUCCCGCAAGUGGAAGUAACCUGCUCUGCAGGGUGAACACGCACCCAGUGCCGCCCAGGAAGCUGCCAGUCAGUAUUGGGCACAGAGUCUCUGGAAGGAACUCCAGGAGACAGUGUGGCCUCCACAGCAUUAGGCAGCCAAGGAGAUGCAAACAAGUCUGCUGUAGAUGCUGGCGAUGAGACCCCCUCUUCCCAGCCAGGGCCUGCUGGGUAAGAGUGGCAUUUCCGUGGGUGACUUUAUCCCUCAGGAUCGGGGCAUGCAGAUUUAUUGGCUGGCUUCCUUCUUACAGUUUCUUCUCAGAGCACACUCAAGAGAGGCCAUCUGUCCCUUGAGAGGCUGUUGACCAAAAGAGGCUGAAGAGAGAUGUGGAGCCCAGCUGCAGCGGGACCAGCCUGGGGCCUGAUGAGAGCUUGGACCAGAACCCCCACGUUCAUCAUUCACAAUGAUGCCUCAGAAACCCUCCCAGAGCCCCUCCACCCUCCGACGGAUGUCACCCUGAAGCCAGCUGCAGAAGCUGUGUGGGGCGAGCACAGCGACACCAGCCCUACGUCCCUCAGCUGCGUCAUCCUGUCAGCACUGGGGGCCCAAGAUCUCCUCGACUGCUGCACUCCUACUGCUUCUGCUCCCAGGGGAACAGGAGCACGGGCGCCGCCUGCGGGAGCAGGUGGAGAAGAACGGCGAGCUGAAGAGGGUCAGCCGCCGACAGCCAGGUGCACACGCUGCAGGAGGAGCUGGACGAGCUAAAGGAAGGGGGCUCCCUGCCUUAGCAGCCUGCUGCCCCCAGCCGAGCGCCAGCUGCAGAGCUCCAGCCAGCGGCAGAAGCAGAGCAGUGGGCAGUGGUGGAGGUAGAGCUGGCUCCAGCUCCGUUGACACCACCCUCUCUAGCACUGGAGCCAGUGUCCCCUCCACCAGCAGUGUUGGAGCUGUAGCAAGGGCCGACAUCGGCUGUAGCAGGAGUGGGAGCUGCUGAUCUGGAGUCACCUGGACCAUCAUUUCUAGUGGGAAGUCCAUCUCCACCUGUGGCUAAGAAGCGUGAAAGAAGCCUAAUCUCACGGCC